GGCAGGAUCAGCCCCAGAGCCGGCCGGACGGCCGCCUGUGAUAGGGGCCCCGGUCAAAACCUCUG
rnacentral:snoRNA from 1 species